ensembl:lncRNA
UUUUUUUUAUUUUGUCUUUUUGCCUUCCCGGGGCCACUCCUGUGGCAUAUGGAGGUUCCAGGCUAGGGGUCUAAUCGGAGCUGUAGCCACCGUCCUACGCCAGAGCCACAGCAACUCGGGAUGCGAGCCGCGUCUGCGACCCACACCACAGCUCACGGCAACGCCAGAUCCUUAACCCAUUGAGCAAGGCCAGGGAUCGAACCCACAACCUCAUGGUUCCUAGUUGGAUUCGUUAACCACUGAGCCACGACGGAAACUCCAGAAACCCCAAAUCUUAAACCCAAGGUGGGGAAAGGCUGAGGAAGGCAUUGAAUCCAAUGUAUCACAGGCAAAGAGACUUCAAAGUCUCCAUCUGAUGGCUCAAAUAUCCAUGACAGAAUUGGUAUUUCUUCUCAGAUUCAAGGCAUGGCCAAGUCACAGAGGCUCACUUCCAGGGUCCAGUUUUCAUCUUGGAGGCUGUAACCCAGGCAGCCUCUCUGCCCUUUGAUCUGGUUGGAACUGGAGUGUAACAAAUAUGCUUGUAUUAAGCUAUCUCCAGUCUGCCUGAGGGCAUCGGUCUGGAAUGUGAGAAGGGGAGCUUCAAACAGUGAGGUUCCCAAAUCUUCAUUUGCAUUCCAUUUUUUCCUGGCAGGCUGGCUAAGGCUUCUUCUAUGGAAGGCAGUGAUGGGGGUGCCUGUGGACUUCAGCAACACUGAAUGGCCUCCAAAGGCAGGACUAGAGGGCUUUGUCCCUAUCCCCCGGGACCAGGAAUCAGCUGAAGAACAAGAGGAACUACACGCAAGCACCAGGACCCUACAUUAUACUUUUAUUAAGCCACCCACAGGCACCUUUGGAGCACCUAGGGGCUCUAAGCACUGCGCAAGAAAGACCAAAGAGGGCGCCACCGUCUUUGGCCAUCAAAGCAUCCACGUUCCACCAGCCACCUCUGGGGUGAUGAAUCGUUUCAAGGACGCCAUCCAUUCUAUUCCAGGUCUGUCUCCUCCUAGACUUGACAAUGCAAGCCUUCAUUUUCAAAAUCAGAAGGUAUAAAAAAUGUGUUUAGCUGGAAGAUACUCUGUGUGAAAGAAUGUGCAGCUGACAGCAAACAUUUCCAGCAGCACAGCCAAUAUUUUCCUAUUUCCUGGACAAUUUACUAAAAACCUUCCACCCCUGCUUUCAUAGGUUGAAGGCAUCUGCUGUGCCAAAUUGUCUGCUGGUGACAGAGAGAAACCAACACAUUCUUCAUUGCCCAGGGAUAAAAUUGAAAAGGGAGAGAGAAGUGUCCUUGACAAAUAGUAGACUCUGAACUACACUUGUGUUACCCUGUCCCUGAGAGACUUCAAGUGCUGGAUGAUCAGAGAUGGUGAGAAAGCAGCUCACUUAUUUUUCACCAGUUUACACCACGUCAGGCAUAAUCCCCAACGUAUCAAGAACCCCCAGGUCCUUGGGUGAUUGCUUCACAAAAACAUGGAAAUGAUGCAACAGAAACAACUGAGUUUUUUUUGUUUGUUUGUUUGUUUUGUUUGUUUUUGUUUUUGUUUUUUGUUUUUUGACUCCUCCAGAUGGAAAAGGUAGUGCUUUAAAUAUCAUGUUCCCUGGACAUCUGUCAUCCAAAGCACAAUGCAACCACUGUAGGGCAGAGAGAGAGGAGAUAUUCUGCGGGCAAAGCACGCAAACCAGAGACUCAACCCACUGAAGAAAUGGUCUUGUGCUUCUUCCUUGGAACAGCGGUGGGGUGGGCCAUGCACGAGAAUGUUGCUGGCCGGCCUUGAAAGAAAGAAACCCUUUCGGAGACCAGCGACCUUAAACAUCGCAUCAGCCUUUGAAGUUAUGCACAAUGACAUCCUUUGGUUCCUGGCCCGGGGCAGAGGUUUAAGCUUUAAGACUCCAUUUACUUACCAAGAGUUGGAGAAAUAUUUUCACUGCGGCACAAGGUAAAAGAGCCAGGUUUUUCAAAAAGCAAGGGAUCGGAUGGUGAGGUCGGGGAAUAUACCCUUUACAGGGGGCCACCCCACAGUGUGAAGGGAAUCCAGAGCUAGAAAGGUACCUUUCUGGGGUUAAUCUUUCUUUUUAGUCUUCUGUACCAUUCAGAUCAGUUUUGUAAAACUCACAUCAAAGUCACAGAAGCAGAGGUGGUUCUGAGGCUCCCACCCUCCCUCUAACCCAUCCUUGGUCCAACCUGCCCAACCCAUGCUUGUCCUUCCUACCAGCAUCUUCACAUCUCUGAACCAGUCUCACCCCCACCCCCGAAAAAAGGGCACCCCCAGCUCCCUGCAGUGCUGCAUCUCCAGUAGGAAUCCAAGGAGUGAUAACAUCUCCCACAGCAGGGUGAGGGGGAGCUUCGUGCCCACUGCUGCCUCGAUACAACUCUCUAGAGCAUCCAAAUUAGCGUUUAUUCCUUGUGGUGGGUUCCACCUAUCUGGUUGACCACUCCAUCCUGGCACAUUGUGCAUCCAGCCACCACAGUGUUGAGUACAUAGCAAGUACUCAACGCAUGCUUGUAGAACAAAGGCCCCAUUCCUCCAACCCCAACAUUUUCUCUUUCCAUUCUGCCAGAUAUCUACUAUCUUAGGGUACAGUCACCGGGGCCUCAUCCAAUACUCUUGGACAUCGAACUUUCUCUUGCCAGAGCUCUUUGGCUUUCAUCUCAUGCCAUGGCAGACGUCCUUUUGCAAGAUCCCAAAAAGCUGGGACUCCAGAGAUUCUGGGAACCUCAAAAUAGUCAUCUAAGAAAAGGUAGCAAUGUUACAUGCCGUCGUGUUCAUGGUUUGAGAAGCUACGUCAAACUAAUUACUGAACUGGAGCCAAAGACUUGAAGGAAAACAGAAGGAAAUCUGUUGCCUUGAGAUGUAUCUUUCUUCUUCAAAGAACUCAGAGCUGCUCCCAUCGUACAUGAUGUUAGGAUAGGCCUUGGGCCAAUCAUUGUGAAGAGCAUCUGAAAAAUCACUCAGAAUUGUGUGCUCCGUUGUUUUGCAAAGGAUAUAACUAUUUGUUUGCUUAAGUGAGGCGGUAGGGAUUGCUGGAAAGGUUCUGUGAAGAUAUUAGCUAACCUCAAGUCCCCACCAGCAAACACAAGCAUGCCGUUCACACACGGGUCACAACCACCCACAUCAUCUCGGACUCACAGGUAUGAAUAAUGUAUAAACGAGCUGAACCCCAUUCCAACGAGCAAGAGACUUUAGCUCACAAUGGAAAUGUAAACACGACCUUUAGCUGAAGAUAGUCUUUGACUCCAAAGGGGUCACAUACACAAUACAAACAAGGUCUUUACUGGGGCCUGCACGGGUCUCCAGGGGGGCUGUGCUGAAGUUUCCUAAUGGAAGGGGUGGUAAGUCGCCAUGAAGGGGCUGAUUCGAACACCCCAUUUGCCACGUGUUCCCAAUGAGAACGCGACACGAGAGCCUCUUCAUCUGAAAAUCUUCAAGAGAUCCUGCCUGGUCCAUGAGGCUCCAUGUCCCCUUCAGAGCAAAGAGGCCACACGGUUCCCAUAUUUACACAAAGGGGACAGUUUGGUCAGGAAGAACUCUGUAAAGUAGUGCUUGCGGAUUAAUCGAGUUAAAAGAUAAGCCCAGUUAAAGGAGCCUCUUGCUUAAACAAUACACAGGUGGAAAAAUGAGUGAAAUAAAGAAAGCGAAAUUCAGGAGGUACCAUCGCCAAAUACACAACUUGUCAUUUCUAAUAAAGCAAGAAGGUGGAACUUGAGUCACUGAGCAAAAUGCUCAAUACCCAGUUAGGAUCCACGGCCCCUGAAGAGCUACCUAAUUACCCCGGAGAUGAAGUCCCCGGGUGCAGGUCCCCAGGGUCCUUUCCAGGCGCCUCCAUCAUUCAUUGGGAAGUCAGGGAAAAUGAGUUAUCUAGGUGAGGUUUGAUGCUCCCAACUUUUCAAGGGUUGCUCAGAUCUCAGAAAUAAAGACUGUCAGAUCAAGGGGGAAGCACAGACAUGACCGUUUGGUUCAUUAGAAUCGUGGAGCUAAAAUCUCUUUUUGCAGUUGUAAGGAGCCAGCGUCAGUCAGUUUUCCAAACGGGAAAAGGAAAGUACCCUAGCCUUUACUGUAACAAACCAAGAGCCAUACGAAACUCAAGCAUGAUAAAAGGCAGAACGAAAAAAUAAAACUUGAGUAAUUCCUCUUAAGUGACUUUCUUUCAAUCCAUUUUACUUUAUUUUAGCAAGAAGAAAGUAUGAGAUUUGAGGCUCUGUCCAUAUGUUUGGUUGCUGUUCACUUUGAUUUUUUGUUUACGUUUGUCUCAAUUUUUUCUUUAAUGGUAACAGCUGCAUAUGGACAAAAUUCAAAAGGUUCAAAAGGAUAAAAGCAAAUAAUCUUAUCACCUGUCACCAGCCACCUAAUUCCUUCCACUCCUGGGCAGUAAACACGCGAACAAAAAACAGUAACUACUACCCAAAUACUACCCCCAAAAAUAGGGCUUGGGAGGAAAAAAAACAAACGAAAUAAGGAAAACCCCCUAAAACAAGGAUCUAAAUCUGGUGUAUCCUUUCAGAUCUAAUCUAUGCAAACAUUAGCAUUUCUUUCCUUUGUGAAAACACAAAAGAAAUGUUUUUUUGUAAACUGUUCUGUACUUUGCAUUUUUUUCCCUUAACAUAUCUUCAAGGUCAUUCCCCAUCAGUAAAUACAGAGAUGUCUUAUUUGGUACAAGUGCAAGCACAUCUGCAGGAUAAACUUCAAGAAAUGGAAGAGCUUGCCCCAAAUAUAUGCAUUUUCUUUUUCAAUUAAUAUUACCAAGAUGUCUUUCCCAGAGACGGUAUCAAAUUAUACGCCCCUCAGCAAUGUCAGCCUCUGCCUCUCCCCACCUUGGCAAAUACACAGCAGUAUUAACAUUUGAACAUCACCAGGCUGACAGGUAAACACGAUCUCUUAAAGUGUUCGUUUCUCCUUCUCUUAUUAGCAGAGAGGGUAAGUAACAUUCUCAUAUAUUUAAGAGCCAUUUAGUUCCUUUUCUGUUAAUGACCUGUUCACAUUUUAGGUGAUUUUCCUACCACUUUCUCUUUCUUAAAAGGCAGUCUCUCUAGCAAAUGCUAUCCAAACUGGUCUUUUGUAUAGUUCUUUGUAGUUGUUUAAGCCCAUUCAUAUACGAUCUAAUGCAAUAACUGCAAUGAGCUGGGGAACAGGCAUAAAAAUAUGAUUCCCAUUUUACCGCCAAGGACACCGAGGUUUUGAUUCUUAGUAGGUUUGACCAAACAGCUCACAGAAGUUUGUAAACAGGACUAGCAUUUGCGUAGCUUAUCUUCCAGUCUAAUGAUCUGCUCGUGUCUGCUUACUAUGUUCAAAUGCCUCUUAGGAGUUCCCAUUACGGCUCAAUGGGUUAAGAACCUGACUGGUAUCCAUGAGGAGGCGACUUUAGUCCCUGGCCUCGCUCAGUGGGUUAAGGAUCUGGCAUUACCAGAAGCUAUGGCACAGCCUGCAGAUGCAGUUCGGAUCUGGCAUUGCUGUGGCUGUGUAUAGGCCAGUCGCUGCAGCUCCAAUUCGACCCCUAGCCUCGGAACUUCCAUAUGCUGCAGGUGUGGCCCUAAAAAGAGGAAACUUGCAGACAUAAAAAUUUGCAAUGUGUAUGUAUUUACUGAUGGAACAACAAAGAUGGAUAUUAAAGACUUGCUUCGACUUCUCCAGACAACAUCCAUCUAUCUAUCUUAGCCAGGGGCAUAUGAUUAAAACCUGCAAGGAAGGAUCUCCACAGUAUACAAAGGGUAGGGGGCAAAGAACAAGUGAGUUAGUACAGGAGAGACGCAGUAUGAAGUCAGAGGACAGGGGGCCCUGACUUGGUGCGUGAACCAGGAAAGGAACAGUGCCAGACUCAAAGUUGAUAGGCAGCCGGUGGGUGGAGGUGAGCAGAGCCCCCUCUGCUGGGCUGGUAUUGAGAGGCAGGCUCUGCUGUGUGGAAAGGACAGGGCUGAGCACUGGCCUCUUAGCACCUGGGGUGCUCAGCCAGGUAAACAAGACAGGAGAUCUGGGCUCAGCAACAGAGUAGGGACCAGCUUGGGGUACCAAUAAAAAGAACUAAGACUCAAGGUCAAGGUUGGACAAGGCAACAAGGAUUCUGGAAUGGAGUUGCUUAAACACAGUCUCAGGUCAAGAUCUGACCUAGGACUUGGGCAAGCCCCUCCCUCAGGGAAGCUGAGCAGCUUUAGCUGUGCAGUGAGUGAGAUGCGUGGGUCUGGAGCCCAGGGGUCCAGUGCAGCCAGCCACAUCAGGGGCAAGGGAGGAAGCAGGCCAGCAGGGACCAUCACCGUGGCUCCAGCAGGCCCUGGGAAGCCGGCUGGAGAGUGGGGGAGACAAGGGGGCAAGGUGGGGGCAACUUGAUUUUUACUACCUGGCUGAGAUGCUCCAAUGCAUCCCCUGCAACCUACUCACAUAUGAAUAAGCUUAGAUCUCCCUUAACGUGAUACUUCUUCCUAUUUAUCACUAAAGAGUCUCGCUCACUCACAUUCUCAGCGCUGGAGGAAGGCACAGUGCUACCAAAAGGUAAUAAGAAAAGUGCAGUCACACAGAGUUCCAUCUGUGGCACAACGGGAUUGGUGGCAACGCUGCAGCGCCAGGACACAGGUUUGAUCCCCAGCCUGGUACAGUGGGUUUAAAAAAUCUGGUGCUGCCGCAGCUUCGGUGUAGGUAGCAGCUGUGGCUCAGAUCUGAUCCCUAGCCUGGGAACUCCAUAUGCCGCGGGGUAGCCAAAAAAGAAAAAAAGAAGGGCAAAUACAGUCCGAGGACUCAUUUAUUUAUACGAUGUAUCAGAACUUAUGCACACAAAUCUCAUCUGAGAUUUGUAAGUUCCCCUCAACACUGAGUAGAGGGUGUCAGGAAUGGGGAAAGCUAUUAUUCUCUUUAGCUUUGGGACCUGGCACCAGCAGCUGAGGGGACAGAGGUGGUUUUAUUGGCUCAAAUAUAUCUUUUGGGGAGCAGGGGGUCUCCCAAAACAGUGAGGGGCUGCCACGCUAGUUUCCCUUGCAAAAGCCAGUGAGGAACACUGACAAGGGGUGAGGCCAAGUUGUGGCCACAUGCAGCCCUUGAGUCACCAGGGAAGGGAUAAGGAGAAAAAACAAGGACCACUUCUCACACAGCCUCCAGACGGGGACCGUGCCCUGCCCCCGGUUACCAACACCAUUCAGUCUUGGAGCAGAAGCGUGUGGCAGCAAAACUCUAGCCCGGGACUGCCACGGCUUUAUGGACACUAGGAAUCUUGUCACACGAUUUGAGAAGUGACCCUGGUUUACAAGUUUGAGUCGCAUGACUUUAUAAUGACCUACCAUCAUGGACCCCAAAUGAUAGGACCCCGCAAAUAUUACCUGCUCUCAAGUGAUUUACCUUUUGUUACCCCUGAGGAUAGUCAAGAGAAAAAUAAAACCAGCUACAUGGCUUACUGAAGGUGUCCUGCAAGUGGACGAUUGAGAUAAAGCACUUCAUACACACCGAUUCGGCUCUGAAUGCCAGAACUGACUUUCUCAAGAUCACACAGCCAUUCGCUAGACACGCUGACGUUGGAAGCCAGGUCUCCCCUUCAUAACUUUGUCCUAUGGUCUCCAGGUACAGCCUCAGUUCAGAAAUGUCCAGAUUAUUUAAAACAUGGAAUGGAAUUCCUGCUGUGGCACAAUAGGAUCGGCAGUGUCUUGGGAGCACUGGGGCACAGGUUCGCUCCCCAGCCUGACCCUGUGGGUUAAGGAUCCACUGUCACCGCAGUUUAGGUCACAACUGUGCCUCAAAUCUGAUUCCCAGGCCCAGGAACUUCAUAUGCCUCAGGGCAGCCGAAAAAGAAAAAAAUAAAAUAAAAUAAAACAGGUAACAACCGCCAUGCCCGUGCCUAGACCAAUUGGAAAAGACACCGGCAGUAAAUGACAGGUGCCUUCUGGCUGAAAUCAGCCCUGCGUGUAACCUCCAGGGUGCAGGAGGAACAGCCUCAACUGAUGCAGGGAUGUUACCCUCCACCAGAUGUGAAACAGAAAGCCAGACCAAAAAUGUUCUGCGCCCCCCGCCCCGCGCGCCCCCAUUUGAACAGUUCUGCCCUCACAUAUGCCUUCAAAGGGUUACUAUGAGAGCAUUCCACAAAGCUUGACUCUGUCAAAACUACGCUCAAUUAAACUAAUAGAGGAUGUUCUAUUUCAAAACAUGCCCCUGUUCCAUCCUGAUGAAGAAGUAUCAAAAGAGAAUGAAUUUGGACCACUUUUAAAUGAUGACAUCUGCAUGACUGCAGCGAUUCACCUAUCAAACUAAUUUAGGCUUAGAGCCCACAUCAACACGGCUGUCAGAGAGUUGAUUUCUAUUCAUUUUAAAACUUCCGGGCUCAAGAGUGAUCCGUGGGAAUUUUCAUGUCAUGGGAAAAGGGAGAAAAAAAGAGAAUGGAGUUCUUCACCCAGCAACAAGAUUGGAACUCACAAUUUAGCCAGCGAGGGUUUACUGAGUGCCCCGUGCAAGGUUCCAUCCUUCAAACGGAGAACAUUCCAAAGCACAACCUCCAUGCUAAUGGAGCAUACAGUCCAUCCAAAGACAUUGACAAUGAGGAUGAUAGACAACCAUUAAUAUUGAUUUCCUAUUAAGCCAUGGACUGUCCCAUAUGCUGUACUAAAUUAAGCCUCACCAGGUACCACUAAUUGAUAGGUCCAUUUUACAGAUGAGUAGACUGAGGUGCAUUAAGAAAUGAAUAAUUAAAUAGUACUUCUCAUAGAUGAGUUUC